rnacentral:rRNA from 1 species
CCUACGGGAGGCAGCAGUGAGGAAUAUUGGUCAAUGGACGAGAGUCUGAACCAGCCAAGUAGCGUGAAGGAUGACUGCCCUAUGGGUUGUAAACUUCUUUUAUAUGGGAAUAAAAUGUUCCACGUGUGGGAUUUUGUAUGUACCAUAUGAAUAAGGAUCGGCUAACUCCGUGCCAGCAGCCGCGGUAAUACGGAGGAUACGAGCGUUGUCCGGAUUUAUUGGGUUUAAAGGGAGCGUAGGUGGAUUGUUAAGUCAGUUGUGAAAGUGUGCGGGUCAACCGUAAAAUUGCAGUUGAAACUGGCAGUCUUGAGUACAGUAGAGGUGAGCGGAAUUCGUGGUGUAGCGGUGAAAUGCUUAGAUAUCACGAAGAACUCCGAUUGCGAAGGCAGCUCACUGGACUGCAACUGACACUGAGGCUCGAAAGUGUGGGUAUCGAACAGGAUUAGAUACCCCAGUAGUC